UAGAUGUAUAUGUGUAUAUAUAAAUAUGUAUGUGUAUAUGUUGGAGCCAUUUUAGGCAUUCUUAUUUUUGUGUUGGCAUUACUUCCUUUUGUCACUAGGUGGCGGGCUUUUUGGUUUAGGAGUGCAGGGUUGAAGGCAUAUAUAGGAGCACAGGUGAGCUGAUUAGGAAGGACUCAGGUGUGGGAGCACAAACCGUUCUUACCAACGGCACACAACAGCAGACAACAACAACAGCAGACAGCAACAGGCAGGAAAGACAGGAGAACAUAUGGCACAAUGUCACUACAAUAAUCCAUGGAUGCAGACGGACUACUCUGGACAAGGCGUGCAGUGUAAACUGGGUCUGGGUGAAGGUCAAGAAGAGGACCUUUGAGGAAUGUUUUAUUAUUAACAUGACAGACAAGGUGUGUCGACCCGGGGGAGGCCAUUAGGUGAAAGCAGCAAGAAUGAUCACUUUAAGCCCGGCCUACGCUGAGCACAAACCUGACAACGAGAAACACACGGCAGCCCCUGCUGGAGGUAAUAAAGGAAGAUCUCCAUCGAGACAGACUUUCAAAACUGAAGAAAGAUAAGGAAGACUUCUAUAAAGAAGUUAUCGAUGCUUUUGAUCAGAAGGAGCUGCGCAUGGACUUCAUUUAUAAGUAAAGUCAUGGAUCAAAAAAAGACAGCAGCUGGAAGAAGCACAGCAAGCAAGGCAUUGUGGGAAAUGUAGGAAGACUGACUGAGCACAAAGCACUCGAAAAAGAUCAUCUGGUUCCUCUUGUGCCUGCGGUCCCAACACUGAGAGCACCACAUCAAAGCUUCCUGUCAAGCUCCACGAAGAAGAAGAAAAUCUGGGACAAAUUCUGGUAUUUCACGCACACACACACACACACGCACACACAUUCAUUGACGGAGGCCACAAAUCCAUCCCCGAUAGUGGAAAGUCACAACGAUGGCUCCCACGCUCGUCCUUGGAGAUGUUUCAGACUUUCUGUGUCUUUUGUGUGACAUCACGUGUUUGUCUUUGUGUCCAUGGGAAGAAAACAAAGCUCAUGCUAAUUAAAUCGAGCUAAAUCGUUGAAAAAAAGAAUAAUAAAUGCGUAUUCGUGUGGGG